rnacentral:rRNA from 1 species
GACGAACGCUGGCGGCGUGCUUAACACAUGCAAGUCGAGCGGUAAGGCCCUUUCGGGGUACACGAGCGGCGAACGGGUGAGUAACACGUGGGAACCUACCUUCUGGUACGGAACAACCAAGGGAAACUUUGGCUAAGACCGUAUACGACCUCCGGGUGAAAGAUUGAUCGCCGGAAGAGGGGCCCGCGUCCGAUUAGGUAGUUGGUGAGGUAACGGCUCACCAAGCCUUCGAUCGGUAGCUGGUCUGAGAGGAUGACCAGCCACACUGGGACUGAGACACGGCCCAGACUCCUACGGGAGGCAGCAGUGGGGAAUAUUGGACAAUGGGCGCAAGCCUGAUCCAGCCAUGCCGCGUGAGUGAUGAAGGCCUUGGUU